AGCAGUAGCCGCGGUAAUACGUAGGGUGCAAGCGUUGUCCGGAAUUAUUGGGCGUAAAGAGCUCGUAGGCGGUUUGUCGCGUCUGCUGUGAAAUCCCGAGGCUCAACCUCGGGCUUGCAGUGGGUACGGGCAGACUAGAGUGCGGUAGGGGAGAUUGGAAUUCCUGGUGUAGCGGUGGAAUGCGCAGAUAUCAGGAGGAACACCGAUGGCGAAGGCAGAUCUCUGGGCCGUAACUGACGCUGAGGAGCGAAAGCGUGGGGAGCGAACAGGAUUAGAUACCCGUGUAGUCCCUGUCUCUUAUAA
rnacentral:rRNA from 1 species